GACGAACGCUGGCGGCGUGCUUAACACAUGCAAGUCGAACGGAAAGGCCCUGCUUGCAGGGUACUCGAGUGGCGAACGGGUGAGUAACACGUGGGUGAUCUGCCCUGCACUUCGGGAUAAGCCUGGGAAACUGGGUCUAAUACCGGAUAGGAGCCAUUUUUAGUGUGAUGGUUGGAAAGUUUUUUCGGUGUAGGAUGAGCUCGCGGCCUAUCAGCUUGUUGGUGGGGUAAUGGCCUACCAAGGCGGCGACGGGUAGCCGGCCUGAGAGGGUGGACGGCCACAUUGGGACUGAGAUACGGCCCAGACUCCUACGGGAGGCAGCAGUGGGGAAUAUUGCACAAUGGGCGCAAGCCUGAUGCAGCGACGCCGCGUGGGGGAUGACGGCCUUCGGGUUGUAAACUCCUUUCGCUAGGGACGAAGCUUUUUGUGACGGUACCUAGAUAAGAAGUACCGGCUAACUACAUG
rnacentral:rRNA from 1 species